rnacentral:rRNA from 1 species
CCGCGGUAAUACGUUAGGGGGCAAGCGUUAUCCGGAUUUUACUGGGUGUAAAAGGGAGCGUAGACGGAGCAGCAAGUUUGAUGGAAAAGGCGGGGGCUCAACCCCCGGACUGCAUUGGAAACUGUUGAUCUUGAGUACCGGAGAGGUAAGCGGAAUUCCUAGUGUAGCGGUGAAAUGCGUAGAUUAUUAGGAGGAACACCAUGGCGAAGGCGGCUUACUGGACGGUAACUGACGUGAGGCUCGAAAGCGUGGGGAGCAAACAGGAUUAGAUACCUGGUAGUCCACGCCGUAAAACGACGAAAAAAAGGUGUCGGGGGGCAGAGCCAUUCGGUGCCGCAGCAAACGCAGUAAGUAUUCCACCUGGGGAGUACGUUCGCAAGAAUGAAGCUCAAAGGAAUGGACGGGGACCCGCACAAGCGGUGGAGCAUGUGGUUUAAUUCGAAGCAACGCGAAGAACCUUACCAAGUCUUGACAUCCCUCUGACCGGUGAGUAACGUCACCCUUCCUUCGGGACAGAGGAGACAGGUGGUGCAUGGUUGUCGUCAGCUCGUGUCGUGAGAUGUUGGGUUAAGUCCCGCAACGAGCGCAACCCCUAUCCUUAGUAGCCAGCAUUUGAGGUGGGCACUCUGAGGAGACUGCCAGGGAUAACCUGGAGGAAGGCGGGGAUGACGUCAAAUCAUCAUGCCCCUUAUGAUUUGGGCUACACACGUGCUACAAUGGCGUAAACAAAGGGAAGCGAGAGUGUGAGCUUAAGCAAAUCCCAAAAAUAACGUCCCAGUUCGGACUGCAGUCUGCAACUCGACUGCACGAAGCUGGAAUCGCUAGUAAUCGCGGAUCAGAAUGCCGCGGUGAAUAAAAGGCCGGGUCUUGCACU